ensembl:lncRNA
AGGUACUAAUGUCACUGACCAGGUAGUUACUAAGUUACUGACCAGGGAGUUACUAAGGUCACUGACCAGGGAGUUACUAAAGUCACUGACCAGGUAGUUACUAAAGUCACUGACCAGGGAGUUACUAAAUCACUGACCAGGGAGUUACUAAGGUCACUGACCAGGGAGUUACUAAGUUACUGACCAGGGAGUUACUAAAGUCACUAACCAGGUAGUUGCUAAGGUACUGACCAGGGAGUUACUAAGUUACUGACCAGGGAGUUACUAAGGUCACUAACCAGGUAGUUACUAAGGUACUGACCAGGUAGUUACUAAGGUCACUAACCAGGGAGUUACUAAGGUCACUGACCAGGGAGUUACUAAGUUACUGAUCAGGUAGGUACUAAGUCACUGACCAGGGAGUUACUAAGGACACUGAUCAGGUGGUUACUAAGAUACUGACCAGGUAGGUACUAAGUUACUGACCAGGGAGUUACUAAGGUACUAAGGUCACUGACCAGGACAACAUUCUGGACAAACAAGUCCGAUCCCACGGAUCCACCUCGGUCGCAACUUACAGGACGUAAAGGAUCUGCCGCUAACGUCUCAGCGCCAGAUCCCACAGCACACCUUCGGAGGUCUUGUUGAGUCCGUACCUCGAGGUGUCGGAGCCGUUCUGGCACGAGGAGAGGCGGACCGCCC